ACGGGAGGCAGCAGUGGGGAAUAUUGCACAAUGGGGGGAACCCUGAUGCAGCGACGCCGCGUGAGCGAAGAAGUAUUUCGGUAUGUAAAGCUCUAUCAGCAGGGAAGAAACAGGACGGUACCUGCACAAGAAGCCCCGGCUAACUACGUGCCAGCAGCCGCGGUAAUACGUAGGGGGCGAGCGUUAUCCGGAUUUACUGGGUGUAAAGGGAGCGUAGACGGCUGUGCAAGUCUGGAGUGAAACUCCGGGGCCCAACCCCGGAACUGCUCUGGAAACUGUGUGGCUCGAGUACCGGAGGGGUAGGCGGAACUCCUAGUGUAGCGGUGAAAUGCGUAGAUAUUAGGAAGAACACCGGCGGCGAAGGCGGCCUACUGGACGGUAACUGACGUUGAGGCUCGAAAGCGUGGGGAGCAAACAGGAUUAGAUACCCUGGUA
rnacentral:rRNA from 1 species